UGGUUGUUUUACGAACUGACUCCGAAUUAGAGGACAAAACGGUCCGAAAGUGGGAAAAAUUUUUGACGGUGGCUAGAAAUUGAUGGAAACGGUGGGGAAAAAUACACGAACUGGACUCUAACAAGACCUAACCAACAACAAGACCUCGACUAGGACACAAACUCAACACUGCGGACUCUGAAACUGAAAUAUGCAAAGGCUAUGACGCGGAAGGGUUGUAGGACAAGAAAACGAUAUGGCACUGGACUUAUGGGACGAACACAAGAGCACUCGGAACUAAAGUGUAGAUGUGAACUUAACGGUAUACCUGAAGCUUUGAUUACCACUUGAUGAGAACAAGGGUGGCCCGAUCUUCCGAAAGCUUAUGGUAACUCUCGAUUUGGCGGAGACGAGACACAAAUCGAUUCGGCUUCCAAACAACACAAUCCAAAAUCCUACUAUUUUUUAUUUUUUUAUAUUUUUCUUUUACUUAGGAGCAAUAAAGAAGUAACCACAGAAAAUUUAAGCUUAAACAAGUGAAAGACGUGGCUUGCGGAAAUUUCUGAAGAUUGUGAAAAAUGUGAAAAAAAUUCACGAGGUGAAAACUCAAACUUUAGAGGUGAAUUUGGAGAUUCUAAAAUUUUCAAACCCACCAAUGGUAGAGACAGACAGAUCCAAAUUUUUUCUGAUCGAUUUUUAUAUAUGGAACAUUGAAAUCGGAGUUCGUAUGUGAAAGUUAUGCUUGUUUUACGAACGGACUCCGAAUUAGAGGACAAAACGGUCCGAAAGUGGGAAAAAUUUUCGGCGGUGGCUAGAAAUUGAUGGAAACGGUGGGGAAAAAAUACACGAACUAGACUCUAAUAAAACCUAACCAACAACAAGACCUCGACUAGGACACAAACUCGACACUGCGGACUAUGAAACUAAAAUAUGCAAAGGCUCUGGCACGGAAGGUUGUAGGACAGGAAAACGAUAUGGCACUAGACUUAUUGGACGAACACAAGAACACUCGAAACUAAGGGUAGCUGUGAACCUAAUGAUAUACCUAAAGCUGAUUACCACUGGAUGAGAACAAACGGUGGCCCGAUCUUCCCAAAGGUUCUGGUAACUCUCGAUUUGGCGGAUACGAGAUACAAAUCGAUCUGGGUUCCAAACAACACGAUCCGAAAUCCUGCAAUUUUUCUAAAUUUUUUUUAUAUAUUUCUUUUACUUAGAAGCACUAAAGAAGUAACCACAGAAAAUUUGAGCUUAAACAAGUGAAAGACGUGGCCUGCAGAAUUUUUGGAAGAUUGUGAAAAAUGUGAAAUAAACUUCACGAGGUGAAAACUGAAACUUCAGAGGCGAAUUUGGAGAUUCUAAAAUUUUCAAACCCACCAAUGGCAGAGACAGACAGAUCCAAACUUUUUUUCUGACCAAUUUUGAUAUAUGGAACAAUGAAAUCGGUGUUCGUAUGUGAAAGUUAUGGUUAUUUUAAGAACGGACUGGCAAAACGGUCCGAAAGUGGGAAAAAAUUGCGGCGGUGGCUAGAAAUUGAUGGAAACGGUGGGGAAAAAUACACAAACUGGACUCUAACAAGACCUAACCAGCAACAAGCCCCCAACCAUGACACAAACUCGACACUGCGGACUCUGAAACUGAAGUAUGCAGAGGCUAUGGCGCGGAAUGGUUGUAGGGAAGAAAAACGAUAUGGCACUAGACGUAUGGGACGACCACAAGAACACUCAAAACUAAGGAUAGAUGUGAACCUAAUGGUAUACCUGAAGCUUUGAUUACCACUUAAUGAGAACAAGGGUGACCCGAUCUUUCGAAACGUUCUGGUAACUCUUGAUUUGGUGGAGACGAGACACAAAUCGAUCUGGCUUCCGAACAACACGAUCCAAAAUCCUGCAAUUUUUUUUUUGAUAUUUUUCUUUUCUUAGGAGCAAUAAAGAAGUAACCACAGAAAACUUGAGCUUAAACAAGUGAAAGACGUGGAGUGCAGAAAUUUCUGAAGAUUGCGAAAAAUGUGAAAAAAAAUCACGAGGUGGAAACUCAAACUCUGGAGGCGAAUUUGUAGAUUCUAAAAUUUUCAAACCCACCAAUGGCAGAGACAGACAGAUCCAAAAAAUUUUUCUGACAGAUGUUGAUAUAUGGAACAUUGAAAUCGGUGUUCGUAUGCGAAAGUUAUGGUUGUUUUACGAACUGACUCCGAAUUAGAGGACAAAACGGUCCGAAAGUGGGAAAAAUUUUUGACGGUGGCUAGAAAUUGAUGGAAACGGUGGGGGAAAAUACACGAACUGGACUCUAACAAGACCUAAUCAACAACAAGACCUCAACUAGGACACAAACUCAACACUGCGGACUCUGAAACUGAAAUAUGCAAAGGCUAUGACGCGGAAGGGUUGUAGGACAAGAAAACGAUAUGGCACUGGACUUAUGGGACGAACACAAGAGCACUCGGAACUAAAGGGUAGAUGUGAACUUAACGGUAUACCUGAAGCUUUGAUUACCACUUGAUGAGAACAAGGGUGGCCCGAUCUUCCGAAAGCUUAUGGUAACUCUCGAUUUGGCGGAGACGAGACACAAAUCGAUUCGGCUUCCAAACAACACAAUCCAAAAUCCUACUAUUUUUUAUUUUUUUAUAUUUUUCUUUUACUUAGGAGCAAUAAAGAAGUAACCACAGAAAAUUUAAGCUUAAACAAGUGAAAGACGUGGCUUGCGGAAAUUUCUGAAGAUUGUGAAAAAUGUGAAAAAAAUUCACGAGGUGAAAACUCAAACUUUAGAGGUGAAUUUGGAGAUUCUAAAAUUUUCAAACCCACCAAUGGUAGAGACAG
rnacentral:lncRNA from 1 species